rnacentral:rRNA from 1 species
UACGUAGGGUGCGAGCGUUGUCCGGAAUUAUUGGGCGUAAAGAGCUCGUAGGCGGUGUGUCACGUCGGCCGUGAAAACCCGCAGCUUAACUGUGGGCGUGCGGUCGAUACGGGCAUCACUGGAGUUCGGCAGGGGAGACUGGAAUUCCUGGUGUAGCGGUGAAAUGCGCAGAUAUCAGGAGGAACACCGGUGGCGAAGGCGGGUCUCUGGGCCGAUACUGACGCUGAGGAGCGAAAGCGUGGGGAGCAAACAGG